GACUUUGUGAGUCCCACUGGGUUGUUAUGGCGAUGACUUUGUGAGUCCCACUGGGUUGUUAUGGUGAUGCUCUAGCUAGCUACAAAUAACUGGAGGCUUGUGUUCCAUGGGGCACACAACUGAAAACAUUUAUCACUUGCAACUUCAAAUGAGGUCCAGGUGCCUAAUGAACACAACCCAGGACACUUUGUGUUUCUCUCUAAUAACUGGAACUCCUGAAAGACGCCACAGAGUGGAGACAUGAGUGUGAGCUGUUGAAGGAACAGGAGACGCAGCUCAAACAGCAGCUCUCUUUGUACAUGGACAAGUUUGAGGACUGUUU